rnacentral:rRNA from 1 species
GACAGAGGGUGCAAACGUUGUUCGGAUUUACUGGGCGUAAAGCGCGUGUAGGCGGCUUUGCAAGUCGGAUGUGAAAGCCCACGGCUCAACCGUGGAAGUGCAUCCGAAACUGCAUGGCUGGAGUCUCGGAGAGGAAGGUGGAAUGCUUGGUGUAGAGGUGAAAUUCGUAGAUAUCAAGCAGAACGCCUGCGGCGAAGGCGGCCUUCUGGACGAUGACUGACGCUGAGACGCGAAAGCGUGGGGAGCAAACAGG